GACGAACGCUGGCGGCGUGCCUAAUACAUGCAAGUUGAGCGCUGAAGGUUGGUACUUGUCCCGACUGGAUGAGCAGCGAACGGGUGAGUAACGCGUGGGGAAUCUGCCUUUGAGCGGGGGACAACAUUUGGAAACGAAUGCUAAUACCGCAUAAAAACUUUAAACACAAGUUUUAAGUUUGAAAGAUGCAAUUGCAUCACUCAAAGAUGAUCCCGCGUUGUAUUAGCUAGUUGGUGAGGUAAAGGCUCACCAAGGCGAUGAUACAUAGCCGACCUGAGAGGGUGGGCGGCCACAGUGGGACUGAGACACGGCCCAAACGACUACGGGAGGCAGCAGUAGGGAAUCUUGGGCAAUGGACGAAAGUCUGACCGAGCAACGCCGCGUGAGUGAAGAAGGUUUUCGGAUCGUAAAACUCUGUUGGUAGAGAAGAACGUUGGUGAGAGUGGAAAGCUCAUCAAGUGACGGUAACUACCCAGAAAGGGACGGCUAACUACGUG
rnacentral:rRNA from 1 species